rfam:Camelus ferus unplaced genomic scaffold scaffold4962, whole genome shotgun sequence.
GGAGAGUAGCGCUCAGUGGUAGAGCACAUGCUUAGCAUACACAAGGUCCUGGGUGCAAUCCCCAGUACCUCCA